GGGGAAUAUUGGGCAAUGGGCGCAAGCCUGACCCAGCAACGCCGCGUGAGGGAAGAAGGUUUUCGGAUUGUAAACCUCUGUCGCAGAUGACGAAGGAAGUGACGGUAAUCUGUGAGGAAGCCCCGGCUAACUACGUGCCAGCAGCCGCGGUAAUACGUAGGGGGCGAGCGUUGUCCGGAAUUACUGGGCGUAAAGGGAGCGUAGGCGGUCGAUUAAGUUGGAUGUGAAAUACCCGGGCUUAACCCAUAUCCGCGUUCAAAACUGCUUUUCUUGAGUGAAGGAGAGGUUGGCGGAAUUCCUAGUGUAGCGGUGAAAUGCGUAGAUAUUAGGAGGAACACCAGUGGCGAAGGCGGCCAGCUGGGCUUUUACUGACGCUGAGGCUCGAAAGCGUGGGGAGCAAACA
rnacentral:rRNA from 1 species